rnacentral:rRNA from 1 species
GACGAACGCUGGCGGCGUGCUUAACACAUGCAAGUCGAACGGAAAGGCCCUGCUUUUGUGGGGUGCUCGAGUGGCGAACGGGUGAGUAACACGUGAGUAACCUGCCCUUGACUUUGGGAUAACUUCAGGCAACUGGGGCUAAUACCGGAUAGGAGCUCCUGCUGCAUGGUGGGGGUUGGAAAGUUUCGGCGGUUGGGGAUGGACUCGCGGCUUAUCAGCUUGUUGGUGGGGUAGUGGCUUACCAAGGCUUUGCCGGGUAGCCGGCCUGAGAGGGUGACCGGCCACAUUGGGACUGAGAUACGGCCCAGACUCCUACGGGAGGCAGCAGUGGGGAAUAUUGCACAAUGGGCGGAAGCCUGAUGCAGCAACGCCGCGUGCGGGAUGACGGCCUUCGGGUUGUAAACCGCUUCCGCCUGUGACGAAGCGUGAGUGACGGUAAUGGGUAAAGAAGCACCGGCUAACUACGUG